AGCCAAUAUAACAAAAACAAUACCCAAAAAAUAAAAAACAGCAAUAAAAUAGAACAUAAAGCACUCACCAGUCACCAGGCGAAGCUGAAUUUUGUUCACCUAAUCGGCAAUCAGGCUGUCUGCUAACCGAACGGGAAGUCGUCAAGUUGGAAAUCUCGAAAUAUUGGAACAGCUGUUGAACUCGGCAGAAGAAGAACCAUUGAUGACUGAACUUAGCUUUAAAGUUUAAGCUUUUGGAGACUCGGAUUGGGGGUAGCAAUUCAUUGUAAAUUUUUAAGCAAAAUUGGGCCUAAUUUUUUAAACAAAAAAAAGCCCAAAUAACAUGGACGGAUGAACCAUUGUGAUUUACUAUCGGCGGCCCAAAGUGAAACCCAAGAAAAAGAAAAAAAAAGGACACUAUUCGGACUCAUCUCUUUCCCUUCGUCUUCCUAGCUGCCUGCAAAUUCAUUGUUCCUACCCGGUGGCUCCAGGCGUCCCUCAACACUCCGGCGGAGCAAGCACGUGCGGCCAAGGCCCCUCAUCGGGUCCUAGCCCCGCGCCUACUUUGCAAUCAAUACCACAUCUUUCAUUUAGGAGUUAUGCUCAAAAAUCUCGUUCAAGAACUUAAAUUUUGCCACUAAUUUUUCUUUCCCCUUUUUUGUGGCUCACAAGUUUGUAGUCAAAACAUAAGCGCUGGCUUCCCCAUCUCCACCACUUGUUUCAG
rnacentral:lncRNA from 1 species